UCCAGGGGCUUUCGUCAGAGGGACUUACUAAACGCCACACUCCUGUGAGGCUGGAGCGUCCUUUCUGCUCUGGCGUUAGGAAUGGAAACCAAGUUAAAUCAAGGCAGUGUUUGUGCCACCAGACGGAUCUGUGUCCAGAAUGCUGCUCCUGCCCACAGCAGAACUGGUCACACGGCCAUUUCUAACUAAACUCCCUAGCCUCACAGGGAGGGCUCCAUCCGGGUGACCUGUGCGGGAAAGUGACGAACACAAGUGGGCCCACGCUGGGAAUUCAGUCACUUCUGAAAUACAAGCUUGUGAGGCCUGGUAGACCGCACAGGUAGGUAGGUCAUCUUGGUACAGGGACCUGGGUUUGAGCCCACCUUUGGAGCAUCACACACAGCACUAAGAAGCAGCUGCACAGAUGUGUCUGCUAAGUGUUACGGAACCUAGGCACGAGCUCUUAAAAACAGUUCUUCAGUUCUAUGUUAGGGAGUCGGGCGGGUAGCGCAGCGGGUUGAGAGCACGUGGCGCAAGGCGCAGGGACCGGCGUAAGGAUCCCGGUUUGAGCCCCUGGCUCCCCACUUGCAGGGGAGUCGCUUCACAGGCGGUGAAGCAGGUCUGCAGGUGUCUGUCUUUCUCUCCCCCUCUCUGUCUUCCCCUCCUCUCUCCAUUUCUCUCUGUCCUAUCCAACAACAAUGACAUCAAUGACAACAACAAUAAUAACCACAACAAUGAU